UACGUAGGAUGCAAGCGUUGUCCGGAAUUACUGGGCGUAAAGGGCGAGCAGGUGGCACUACAAGUCUGAUGUAAAAUCUCCCGGCUUAACUGGGAGGGGCCAUUGGAAACUGUAGAGCUGGAGUGCAGGAGAGGCUAACGGAAUUCCCGGUGUAGUGGUGAAAUGCGUAGAGAUCCGGAAGAACACCGGUGGCGAAGGCGGCCUGCUGGGCAGUUUUGCUGACACUGAGGCGCGGCAGCGUGGGGAGCAAACAGG
rnacentral:rRNA from 1 species